rnacentral:lncRNA from 1 species
ACAAAAUUGGGGUCUUACAGGGUAGUACCGGGUGGUUGAUUCCUGGAACUUGUUUGUGUCAGAACUGUCUGUUUUGUCAGCAUUAGUCAUACAUAAACCAUGCAUAUACACGUAUAAUCAUAACAUUCAGAUAUUCAUGUUGCAUUUUUUGCCAUAUAUCUUUUGUUUGUUGUCUCUUGCUAAUUGGUGAUUUAGAUCUCUCCAGUAGAUCCCCAAGCAGAUGUCGGUGUGUCUGAUCUCUCCAUAUAGAGUCAGCCCCUUAAGCAGAAAGCGUUUACCCUUUCCUUCUGCACUCCCCACUGAGUUAUCUCCUCGUGGAUGACGGUUGUUUCCGUUCCUCCCAACAUAUAUUGGGAUGGGUUUCCCUAUUGAGUUUUUUCCUCAUUAGGAUGAGUCUUGAUUCAGUUUGCCUUUUUGGUUCUAUCCUAAAUUGG